rnacentral:rRNA from 1 species
UGAUGCAAGGUUAAGCAGUAAAUGUGGAGCCGUAGCGAAAGCGAGUCUGAAUAGGGCGUUUAGUAUUUGGUCGUAGACCCGAAACCAGGUGAUCUACCCUUGGUCAGGUUGAAGUUCAGGUAACACUGAAUGGAGGACCGAACCGACUUACGUUGAAAAGUGAGCGGAUGAACUGAGGGUAGCGGAGAAAUUCCAAUCGAACCUGGAGAUAGCUGGUUCUCUCCGAAAUAGCUUUAGGGCUAGCCUCAAGUGAUGAUUAUUGGAGGUAGAGCACUGUUUGGACGAGGGGCCCCUCUCGGGUUACCGAAUUCAGACAAACUCCGAAUGCCAAUUAAUUUAACUUGGGAGUCAGAACAUGGGUGAUAAGGUCCGUGUUCGAAAGGGAAACAGCCCAGACCACCAGCUAAGGUCCCAAAAUAUAUGUUAAGUGGAAAAGGAUGUGGCGUUGCCCAGACAACUAGGAUGUUGGCUUAGAAGCAGCCAUCAUUUAAAGAGUGCGUAAUAGCUCACUAGUCGAGUGACACUGCGCCGAAAAUGUACCGGGGCUAAACAUAUUACCGAAGCUGUGGAUUGUCCUUUGGACAAUGGUAGGAGAGCGUUCUAAGGGCGUUGAAGCAUGAUCGUAAGGACAUGUGGAGCGCUUAGAAGUGAGAAUGCCGGUGUGAGUAGCGAAAGACGGGUGAGAAUCCCGUCCACCGAUUGACUAAGGUUUCCAGAGGAAGGCUCGUCCGCUCUGGGUUAGUCGGGUCCUAAGCUGAGGCCGACAGGCGUAGGCGAUGGAUAACAGGUUGAUAUUCCUGUACCACCUAUAAUCGUUUUAAUCGAUGGGGGGACGCAGUAGGAUAGGCGAAGCGUGCGAUUGGAUUGCACGUCUAAGCAGUAAGGCUGAGUAUUAGGCAAAUCCGGUACUCGUUGAGGCUGAGCUGUGAUGGGGAGAAGACAUUGUGUCUUCGAGUCGUUGAUUUCACACUGCCGAGAAAAGCCUCUAGAUAGAAAAUAGGUGCCCGUACCGCAAACCGACACAGGUAGUCAAGAUGAGAAUUCUAAGGUGAGCGAGCGAACUCUCGUUAAGGAACUCGGCAAAAUGACCCCGUAACUUCGGGAGAAGGGGUGCUCUUUAGGGUUAACGCCCAGAAGAGCCGCAGUGAAUAGGCCCAAGCGACUGUUUAUCAAAAACACAGGUCUCUGCUAAACCGUAAGGUGAUGUAUAGGGGCUGACGCCUGCCCGGUGCUGGAAGGUUAAGAGGAGUGGUUAGCUUCUGCGAAGCUACGAAUCGAAGCCCCAGUAAACGGCGGCCGUAACUAUAACGGUCCUAAGGUAGCGAAAUUCCUUGUCGGGUAAGUUCCGACCCGCACGAAAGGCGUAACGAUUUGGGCACUGUCUCAACGAGAGACUCGGUGAAAUCAUAGUACCUGUGAAGAUGCAGGUUACCCGCGACAGGACGGAAAGACCCCGUGGAGCUUUACUGUAGCCUGAUAUUGAAAUUCGGCACAGCUUGUACAGGAUAGGUAGGAGCCUUUGAAACGUGAGCGCUAGCUUACGUGGAGGCGCUGGUGGGAUACUACCCUAGCUGUGUUGGCUUUCUAACCCGCACCACUUAUCGUGGUGGGAGACAGUGUCAGGCGGGCAGUUUGACUGGGGCGGUCGCCUCCUAAAAGGUAACGGAGGCGCUCAAAGGUUCCCUCAGAAUGGUUGGAAAUCAUUCAUAGAGUGUAAAGGCAUAAGGGAGCUUGACUGCGAGACCUACAAGUCGAGCAGGGUCGAAAGACGGACUUAGUGAUCCGGUGGUUCCGCAUGGAAGGGCCAUCGCUCAACGGAUAAAAGCUACCCCGGGGAUAACAGGCUUAUCUCCCCCAAGAGUUCACAUCGACGGGGAGGUUUGGCACCUCGAUGUCGGCUCAUCGCAUCCUGGGGCUGUAGUCGGUCCCAAGGGUUGGGCUGUUCGCCCAUUAAAGCGGUACGCGAGCUGGGUUCAGAACGUCGUGAGACAGUUCGGUCCCUAUCCGUCGUGGGCGUAGGAAAUUUGAGAGGAGCUGUCCUUAGUACGAGAGGACCGGGAUGGACAUACCUCUGGUGUACCAGUUGUCGUGCCAACGGCAUAGCUGGGUAGCUAUGUGUGGACGGGAUAAGUGCUGAAAGCAUCUAAGCAUGAAGCCCCCCUCAAGAUGAGAUUUCCCAACUUCGGUUAUAAGAUCCCUCAAAGAUGAUGAGGUUAAUAGGUUCGAGGUGGAAGCAUGGUGACAUGUGGAGCUGACGAAUACUAAUCGAUCGAAGACUUAAUCAA